rnacentral:rRNA from 1 species
UAGGGAAUCUUCCACAAUGGACGCAAGUCUGAUGGAGCAACGCCGCGUGAGUGAAGAAGGUUUUCGGACCGUAAAGCUCUGUUGUUGGUGAAGAAGGAUAGAGGUAGUAACUGGCCUUUAUUUGACGGUAAUCAACCAGAAAGUCACGGCUAACUACGUGCCAGCAGCCGCGGUAAUACGUAGGUGGCAAGCGUUGUCCGGAUUUAUUGGGCGUAAAGCGAGCGCAGGCGGAAGAAUAAGUCUGAUGUGAAAGCCCUCGGUUUAACCGAGGAAUUGCAUCGGAAACUGUUUUCUUGAGUGCAGAAGAGGAGAGUAGAACUCCAUGUGUAGCGGUGGAAUGCGUAGAUAUAUGGAAGAAUACCAGUGGCGAAGGCGGCUCUCUGGUCUGCAACUGACGCUGAGGCUCGAAAGCAUGGGUAGCGAACAGGAUUAGAUACCCUGGUAGUCCAUGCCGUAAAACGAUGAGUGCUAAGUGUUGGGAGGCUUCCGCCUCUCAGUGCUGCAGCUAAACGCAUUAAGCACUCCGCCUGGGGGAGUACGACCGCAAGGUUGAAAC